rnacentral:rRNA from 1 species
CUAAAAGGUAACGGAGGCGCUCAAAGGUUCCCUCAGAAUGGUUGGAAAUCAUUCAUAGAGUGUAAAGGCAUAAGGGAGCUUGACUGCGAGACCUACAAGUCGAGCAGGGUCGAAAGACGGACUUAGUGAUCCGGUGGUUCCGCAUGGAAGGGCCAUCGCUCAACGGAUAAAAGCUACCCCGGGGAUAACAGGCUUAUCUCCCCCAAGAGUUCACAUCGACGGGGAGGUUUGGCACCUCGAUGUCGGCUCAUCGCAUCCUGGGGCUGUAGUCGGUCCCAAGGGUUGGGCUGUUCGCCCAUUAAAGCGGUACGCUAGCUGGGUUCAGAACGUCGUGAGACAGUUCGGUCCCUAUCCGUCGUGGGCGUAGGAAAUUUGAGAGGAGCUGUCCUUAGUACGAGA